CUCCCUUCGGGGAGAAGUAGAGUGGCGCACGGGUGAGUAACACGUAGGUAAUUUGCCUUCGGGUGGGGAAUAACUCAGGGAAACUUGAGCUAAUACCGCAUAAUGCAGCGGCUCGACAUCGAGACAGUUGUUAAAGCGGGGGAUUCCGCAAGGAACCUCGCGCCUGAAGAGAAGCCUGCGGCAGAUUAGCUAGUUGGUAAGGUAAUGGCUUACCAAGGCGACGAUCUGUAACCGGCCUGAGAGGGCGGUCGGUCACACUGACACUGACAUACGGGUCAGACUCCUACGGGAGGCAGCAGUCGGGAAUUUUGGGCAAUGGGCGCAAGCCUGACCCAGCAACGCCGCGUGAAGGAUGAAAUCCCUCGGGAUGUAAACUUCGCAAGAAUGGGAAGAAUAAGUGGGGGACAAUACCCCCCAUGAUGACGGUACCAUUUGUAAGCUCCGGCUAACUCCGUGCCAGCAGCCGCGGUAAUACGGGGGGAGCAAGCGUUGUUCGGAUUUACUGGGCGUAAAGGGCGCGUAGGCGGCUCUACAAGUCACUUGUGAAAUCUCCGGGCUUAACUCGGAACGGUCAAGUGAUACUGUCGAGCUAGAGUACAGAAGGGGCAACUGGAAUUCUCGGUGUAGCGGUGAAAUGCGUAGAUAUCGAGAGGAACACCUGCGGCGAAGGCGGGUUGCUGGGCUGAUACUGACGCUGAGGCGCGAAACCAGGGGAGCGAACGGGAUUAGAUACCCCGGUAGUCCUGGCC
rnacentral:rRNA from 1 species